UACGGAGGGUGCAAGCGUUAUCCGGAUUCACUGGGUUUAAAGGGUGCGUAGGUGGGCAGGUAAGUCAGUGGUGAAAUCUCUGGGCUUAACCCAGAAACUGCCGUUGAUACUAUCUGUCUUGAAUGUAGUGGAGGUGAGCGGAAUAUGUCAUGUAGCGGUGAAAUGCUUAGAUAUGACAUAGAACACCAAUUGCGAAGGCAGCUCGCUACACUACUAUUGACACUGAGGCACGAAAGCGUGGGGUUCAAACAGG
rnacentral:rRNA from 1 species